AUUAAUUUAGAGCGGCAACCACCCUUGGGCCUUAGCAAAGGCACCACACAAUCGUGUUUAGGUCAUGAUCUUUGACCUCUAGUCCUUAGUGGUGUUGUUAGUGACUAGGUUCAAUGAACCUUUUAGCCCUUUAAUCCUCCUAUAUAUUCAUUGCCAAUAUGCUCCCUCUUGCAAUUUUCAAAUACGGAAGUAAUAUUAUGUUUUCAACGAUCUGUCGCUUUUUCUCUCCUGCUUCUCUCGGAUCUCUCGACAAUGAACAUUGUUUGCGACAUGUAAGCCUGACAAAGAUAUUGUUCACUUGCAUAUAGCAAAUUCCGAUGGUGGAAGUUGAAGAAGAUGUGACAACCGUCGUCAUCAACGCAUCAAUAUGAGUUAUAGAGUUCCCCUUUCAAACUUCAAAUUUCCCGAUUCCAUGGUUGCUUCUACUACGUGAUAUGAGAUAUCAUUUUGUCAUAAUAGAUUGUUGAUGAAGAAUGUGUUUUUUAUAAUUUAUUCUUCGAUUGUCUGCAAUACUUUCAAAUCGAUGAGACCCAUUCAUGAUAAAAGGGUCUUAUUUAAGUGUAAUUGAAUAUCACUUGGUUUAUAAUUAGUUAACUUCAAGUUA